rnacentral:rRNA from 1 species
UGCCAGCAGCCGCGGUUAAACCGGCGGGCCUAGUCAUUUAUAACGGUAAGAUAGUAAAGGAAAGUUUUUUGCUCUCAAAGCAGUAUUAUAAAGUAAAAUUUGAAUAUAUUUUUAAAACCUUAGAAGCUUUUGUCCCAAGCUAUGAAAUCCUUGAGGGAAACUGGGAUUAGAUACCCCACUAUUCUUGGAUAUAAAAAUUUUACCAGGGCACUACGAACGAUGUUUAAAACCCAAAGAGCUUGGCGGUGUUUUAGACUUCCCAGGGGAACCUGUCUCAUAAUCGAUGAUCCACGUCAUACCUGACCUCGCUUAUUUUGCUUGUAUACCGUCGUCUUCAGGUAACUUCCAAAAAAAAAAAAGUUAGCCGGAUACCUAGGUGUUUAACGUCAGAUCAAGGUGCAGCUUAUAGCGGGGGGAGGAUGGGUUACAAUUAUUAACUUAUAACACGGACAAGGGUUGAAACACUUCUUUUAAGGCGGACUUGGAAGUAAAAUCAUUAAAAAGAGAUGCUUUGAAUGGGGCUCUGAAAUGUGUACUAACCGCCCGUCGCUC